rnacentral:lncRNA from 1 species
AUUAAUCAGAUAGCAAUCAAAAGCAAGAAAUGGCAGUUUCUUCACUAUCCUUUACAUUACCUAAGCUUCAAACCUUCACUCCAAAACCCACCAUUGCAGCCACUUUUAAGGCUUCUUCUUCACAUGAAUCAACUCCUUUUAUCAACAAGAAGCAAAUUUUCCAAAUGGGUGUUGGAAUUUUGGCUGCUUCAAUAGUGGCUUCAGCACCUUUAGAUGCUGAUGCUACCAGAAUUGAAUACUAUGCCACUACUGCUGAACCCACUUGUGAGUUCAAUUUUGUCCGUUCUGGACUUGGGUAUUGUGACAUUGCUGUUGGGUCUGGUGAAGAGGCUCCAUAUAAUAAGCUCGUUAAUAUUCACUAUACUGCAAGGUUUGGGGAUGGUAUAGUUUUUGACAGCAGCUAUAAACGUGGUCGAGCCCUUACCAUGCGCCUCGGCAUGGGCAAGGUGAUCAAGGGAUUAGAUCAGGGAAUCUUGGGAGGUGAAGGGGUACCACCAAUGCUAGUUGGUGGAAAACGUAAGCUUCAGAUUCCUCCACAUUUGGCAUAUGGACCAGAACCAGCAGGCUGCUUUUCAGGAGACUGCAAUAUUCCUGGAAAUGCAACACUUGUAUAUGACAUCAAAUUCGUUGAAUUAUACUCGGGAAACAGGAAAAUGUGAUAUGAUGAGAAAUAUGAAGCUCAAACACAACUAGAUCCACCCAGAAUUAGUUUGAAUGAAGAUAUAGAGCAAAAGGUGACAGAAUAUUUUUCUAGAGGGAAUAAAAGUGCCAACUUUCUGGGAUCAUUUCUGAGCUGGUAAUCUAAGUUCCUAACAUUGUGUAUAAUUGACUGUUAUACUUGAUUUAAGCAUGUGCAAACUAGAGGUUUAUGUUCAAAAUACUUGAAAAUCUUGUAUAAUUAUUUUAUGUAUAUUUUGUGACGGAUACUUGAAAAUCGUGUAUAGUUAUAUUAUCUAUAUUUUGUGACGAAUACCGUUGAAAUUAAAUGUAAGUUCAUCGUUCACCUAUAUAA